rnacentral:rRNA from 1 species
GUAAACACGAGAGGUGUCCCUACCGAGUUUGCUAUUCUGUACAAUAAGUGCUAUUGGGAAAAAAGCUUUAAUAUAAGGAAGAAAAUAUGUCGAAUCGUAACUACUGAGUGUCAACAUGUUGUGAUCCAAGACGUCAGUACAUUCAGCCUAGUAUUCUUGGAGACAAGUAAAGUAAUCUUUUUGAGUUUCAAAUGUUUUUCACAUAACGUUCUCUGGGUCAUCUUGACGUAACUUAGAAGCUUUGAACUGACGUCUUAUAUCUCAAAACGGAAUAUUUCAAGAGUCAGAACCAUGAAUGGAAGUCGGUUACUUCUUUGACUCAACCUUUCACUAGAGUUGUAUUUAAUUCACGUUUUUGUAGGGCGUCACCGUGUACUUCCCGCCGCGGCCUAGGCCGCGGCCUAGGUGUAGGUGUCGGUGCCGCGGCCGUGGGUACCUCACUGGCACACGAAGAAGAGGUACCUGUACCUCGAGGGUGUUGUGUGGUACCUUCCGGACCUCGAGGAAGAGUGCCGUCCACGUGGCGCAUGUCCUCCCUUCUGGUUGCGAGGAGGCCCAGACGAAGAAGGGCCCAGCGGCAACGAGGUGCCUUCCAAUUUACCAUUGGAAUGUUUACUAGGAAGAGAAACAUACUAGCUAUAAUCCUCCCGAAACGUCAAGGCCUACACGGCUACUCCAUCGAACGUAACCGAAACUGUAUACUCUGCCGUAACCGAAUGAGAUUUAUAGAACCCUCUGAGACUUGUAGUCCUGGUACACCUGAUUUGAACGUACACCCACGUGAUUCCUCUUCCAGGGUGAGUAGUUCCCUAUUGUUGAUUAACCAGCCUGAAACACUUCUGUCCCCAACCUAUUAAACCUCUUACAGAAACGCAAGUUCCGAUUUUCCCCGUUUCACAGCGAGCAACAGAUGGACAAAACUGUUCCAACCAAUGUUCCAACAGUAGUAUGAUAGGUACGUUUACAAAGGACACUAAAGUAGACGAUUUGUUACUACGUAAUCGUCUUGAUAUAUCCAAGUAACACUCGCAAGCGAACCUGAAUAGAGUGUGGCAACUAGACCGAGCGAAACCAAUACAUUAUUCGGUUGAUAACAUAGAUGAAUCACAACUAGGUAGUCGAACCGAAUGAAAACCUUGUAUGAUGCAUAAGGGGGUAAACAGUACUUGAAAAUCUAGAUUACAAAGUACGAAGACCAUAUAAACUACCGGAAUGGAAAACAGUAACAAACCUGUUUAACGAGAUGUGACCUGUGAAUACAUAGUUCCGUUACGGUACGAAGACUACGUUGGAAUAACAUAACCUGACUAGGUAAUAAACUCGUUAGUGAGAUUAAAAGGAAACGUUACCAAUUAUGUAACAAAUACGCGAACCUGUUAUUCAACUCAGUCCGUGGGCGCUCUUAACUAAACCACAUACCGUGACAUG